rnacentral:siRNA from 1 species
CCGCACGCGCGCUACACUG